UGACAAUCGUUCCAGCUUGAAACUAAGGUUAAUUUGUGUUUUAAUAAAGUGAGAGAGUAAGUGAGAGAAAGUGAGUGAGUCACUGCUAAAUUAUCAAAAUGACAAAUAUUAGAUAUUAAGUGCAAUAUCCACACAGGACCUUGUGGUCAUUCUGUUGUUUUUCAUCUGAGCACCAGUGAUGAUCAAAGCUUUGGUGAACCCCCC